UUCCCAGCAACCACAUGGUGGCUCACAACCAUCUGUAAUGAGAUCUGGUGCCUUCUUCUGGCCUGCAGGCAGAACAUUGUAUACAUAAUAAAUAAAGAUAUCUUUAAAAAAAAAAAAAUAGGAUGGGCCAGUAAGAGAACUCAGCAGUAAAGCAAAUAAAUUAAAAUAUAUUAAAGGAUAGCCAGCAAGCACUUCCUGGAAUAAUCACCCAGUGAUGACUGUAGGGAUGACACUUGGCUAUGAUUGCAUAACCAGUGGUGAGUGGCCCUUGAACCACAGCCCAGAUCUCCCCAUGGAAAUGUGCAGAACCUUAGCUGCUGUGGUAGACAGUUCUGCAUGAGGAGCCUCAUGGGAAUUUGCCUUAGCAGAUGAGGAAGCAGGGCACAGGGAAGGGUUAGCCUCUGGGGCUACACAGCCUUGUCUAUGGCAUGGGUCAGCUGACAUGUGGAUUCUGGUGCCAGGUGCAAUCAGAGGCAGACACAUGACCCCAGCCCUAGCGGGAGCCUCUGAGAGGAAGUUCAAAGAAUCCGAUGCUGACACUGCACAGCCCUCUUUGGGGAGGGCUCCUGUCCAGCUGUUUCAUGCCUCUCUACACUGGCUAGGAUUAUUUAGAGGUGUGAUAUAGAUUCUUUUUUUUUUUUUUUUUUUAGAAUCAGUGAGAAGAGUUACAGGGUGAUGGCACUUGCUGAGUUUAAGCCCUGGGUGCCCACAAGGUAGAAGAAGGGAACCAACUCCUGCAAAUUGUCCUCUGACCUCCAUAUGUGCGCGGGUGCACCCAUAUACACACAAAUAAGUAAACAUUAAAAAAAAAAAAAAAGGAAAAGAGCCAGGCAGAGCUCUGUGAGUUCGAGGCCAGCCUGGUCUACAAAGCAAGUUCCAGGGCAACCAGAGCUACACACAGAGAAACCUUGUCUCCGAAGAAAAGAAAAGGUGUAAGUCACUUUAUCCUCUGAAGCAGAGGUUGUCAACUGUCCCCAUUUUACAGAGGUAGUGAUUUCCACCCUGACUUACUUACACCAAGGAUUGGUCUCCAGGACCAGGCUCCUCAGACCUAUCUUCCUCGAGGCUGUGCCAGGACCAGGGAUCCGGAGGAGGAGGAGUGGGGAGGAGGAGAAGGAGGAGGAGGAGGAGUGGGGAGGAGGAGGAGGGCCCCACAGGAUGGGCGGGGCCGCAAAGAAAGGGUCCGAGAUCGGCCGGCCCGGAGCCCAGAUCCCAUGGAGGCGGCGGACUGCAGCUACCAGUUCCGAAUCGCUCUGCUCGGGGACGCGGCGGUGGGCAAGACGUCACUGUUGCGGUGCUACGUGGCGGGCGCCCGCGGGGCGGCGGCGGAGCCCGAGCCCGAGCCCACUGUGGGCGUGGAGUUCUACAGCCGCGCUCUGCAGCUGCCCGCUGGGCUGCGGGUCAAGCUGCAGCUCUGGGACACCGCGGGUCACGAGCGCUUCAGGUGCAUCACCAGAUCCUUCUACCGGAACAUGGUGGGCGUUCUGUUGGUCUUUGAUGUGACGAACAGAGAGUCCUUUGAACACAUCCAAGCCUGGCACCAGGAGGUCCUAUCCUCUCAAUGCCCUGGCAAAGUGAUCUUCUUACUGAUUGGCCACAAGUGCGACCUGAGCACCCGAUGCGUCUCGACCCAGGAGGCAGAGGAGCUGGCUGCUUCCAUGGGCAUGGCCUUCAUGGAGACCUCAGCCAAAAGUAACUGCAAUGUGGACCUGGCCUUUGACCAUGUCACCACUGCCAUCGAGCAGGCCCUGCGGCAGGGGGACAUCAAGCUGGAAGAGGACUGGGCAGGUGUCCGACUCCUCCACAGAGCCCCAAACCCCAGACGCUCCAACAGAAAGCAGGACUCGGGCCCAUGCCAGUGUUGACUCUGGGAGAGGGAGGGUUAAAUGGGGCCAGCCUCAGACUCCCCAGCAAGACCGGAGGACAAAAAGACUGUCUCCUGACAUGUUCCUGCCUUCUAAUUCUUGGCAUUUUUUUCUUUGUCGGGAUUGAACACAAGGCUUGGCUAUCUACAGACACCCUCAGCCCUUUUAUAUUUUCAGAAUGGAUCUUGCUAAGUUGCCCAGGCUAGCCUUGAAGCUCAGCCUCUGGAGUGAUUGAGAUUACAGAAGUGUUCCACUCGGCCAGGACCUCUGCUAGGUUUCUAGUUCUCAGCACAACCCCUUUUUAGAGAAAAAUCUAAGAGCAGGUUUGUAACUUAAUGUCAUCAAGCCUAAGUUUCUCUCUCCAUGAGUGUGAUGUGGCAGUACACAAAUGCCUGAAUCCCCAAACUGGGAAGGCAGAGGCAGGAUCAGGAGUUCAAUGAUAGUCUCAGCCUUGGAGAGUUCAAGGUCAGCCUGGAUGACAUGAGACUGUUGCAAAAACCAGACUAAAAACAUUUUAAAAAAUUCUCUUUUGGGGGUUGGGGAUUUAGCUCAGUGGUAGAGUGCUUGCCUAGCAAGGCCCUGGGUUUGGUCCUCAGCUAGGGGGUAGGGGAUACAUAAGGGACCGGCUUGCUCACUCAGAGGCUGCCUCACUAACAGCUGAUAUCAUGCUUCUCGGUUCCUUUCUUGGCUUCAAAUGGUCAUUUCUGGCAGCAUUCCUGGGCUGGAAGACAGCUGCCCAGCAUGUGUCCACUGCUUUGCUGGUGAGGUAGCCCGGGGAAUUCCAGUACAAGCUUGGCUUAGCGCUUCCCCAGCCCUGAGAGUAGCAUGAGUCUCGUGGUUCCCACCCCAAGCUCAGUGACUAGAGUGAAAUUUGGGAGUUGACCAUGAAUGAGCUACAGAUUUGUUGGACACAUGGUAGACAACGCGGAGAGCCACCAAGGUCUCGGAUGAUGGACUUUGGCCUACUACACUGCCUGGAACCUGGCCAUCCUUAGGGCCACCAUUACCCAACAUCUUGUCUAAGAGGAUGAUGUUAAAGAACUUUAACGUGGCUUUAAUCUCAGCACUGAGGAGGCAAAGUUUUACGGACUGAACUUAGGUGGACAGCCUUGCAUGGCAAACACUAGCCACUGAGCCAUCCGGCCAGACCUCAAAUACCUUUUGAGAAACACCUUGUUCCUUUGGAUGGCUACACCUGCUCCACCGAGACGCCCAGCUUCCGGUUCCCAUAGUCCUUUCCGGGGAAUGCUUGAUACUGGCACCCCACAACCGUCUUCUAGAGAGCCAAGGAUGCGUUGCCCCACUUCCCUUCAGUUGCAUUACUUUUCCUGAUGUCUAUUCACCAAGAACAGAAACAGUUCCACCAAGUCUAUCUUGGUGAACCAGUGAGUUUAUUGGGCUUACUUACAGGAGUAUGGGUGACCCCCAAACAGCUGCAUCACUGAAAAGUCCCACCCCAACAUGGUGACAAUCUCUCCAAAGCAACAGGGAUGGCGUUCCCCUUCAGCUGGCUUCCACACGCUGUAUUCUCCCCCGAGACCACAUGUAGCCGGGGCGGAAUUACCUGCAGCUUGCUGGGAGGCAGGUUAGAACCCUAGCUGAAGGUCCAAUGACUCUGCUCAGCCCUUCCCUCCAUGAGGGAACAUUAACAGACGUGAUCUUAGGAGCGGCACUUGUAGACAGUCACGGCUGCUCUGAGGACGGCGGUGACAGCCUGCAAGGCUGAGUGCACACCUCUAACCCCAGCCCUUGGGAGAGGGAGGCAGCUGGAUCCUUAGCCAUAUACCAAAUUCAGAUACCAACCUGGGCUAUCGGAGAUCCUGUCUCAAAAGGUACUAGGCUACUUAUUACCCAGCCUGCUGCCCUGGCAGUAUAGACAACAAACCUGUUUUGUUUUUGUUUUUGUUUUUGAAGAUAACGACAACUAAACAAUCAAGCUAGCAACCAGGGCUGGAGAGAGAGAGCUCAUCGGGAAGGCAGGAGGACCUGUGCUGGAUGCCCAGAGCCUCUAUCAAUGCUGGAUGUGGUGGUAUACCCUUGUAAUCCCAGCGUUGGGGAGGGACAGACAGGAGACUCCCUGGGGCUCACUGGCCAGCCGCUCUAGCCUAAUUGGUGAGUUCAAGUCCAAGGAGAGACCCAGUCUUACAGUGGGGCGAUGACACACCUGAGGAUGACACCCGAGGCUUUCCUUUGGCCUCCACAGACACGUGUAUGUGCAGGUGAGCACACAGACACACAAACAUGCGUGCAUACACAGGUGGUAAACUAUGCCGUACUUAGAAGACUGCUCCACAAUGCUCCCUCCAUGCCUUGUUCACACUGCGACAGCGUCAGGGAGGCAGAACGGGCCAUGCCGUCGUGUCUACUGCAGUCUUUCAAGUGAAUGUGGCAGGAAGUCAGGAGCAAGCUGCUCCCCAAUGAAGCAAGGACUCCAGGCGCCUGGGAGAGCAGGAGGAAGCCACAGACUGAGUCUGAGGGCUGUCCACUCCAUGCCCCUUUCUUCCAUCUGUCGUACUCUAACCUCGCACCUUGUGUGAUUCCCAUCUGGAUGCAUUCCUUUUAUUUUUUAAUUUCUGGGAUGGAAACCAGGACCUUGCUAUAUUAAGCGUGGGCUCUACCACUGAACUAUAUCCCUAGCUCCAGGUACACCGCCUUCUGGAGAUCACUGGGCCUUUGCACAUUCCAUUACUGUAUAAAAUGCUUCAAUGGCUCCUAUUACUUCUGGACAAAGACCAUUCUUGGAACCUGUGAGACUCGCCCUCCUCCAGCUGUGACCCUAGCCUUUCCCGAAUUUGCCUCUCUCUCCAAUAGCGGCCCACCUGACUUGUUUUAAUUCGUUAUUGUGGCUCUUGCCUAGUAGAGACACAGGUACAGCUUAGAGACAUGAACAGCCCUUCAAUGUGCUGACAGGACAGUAAUACUGAGACAGAAGAAGCCACCUACCUGUCACACAGCUGGUCAAGAACUGACAUCUUGCGAGUACCUCACUUCUGUCAUUGUACUUCCCCAAUCCCCUUGUCCCUUUCUGUCCCCGACAGAGAUCUCAAGAGUCAUUCCAGAUUCCUUCUUGGCUGCUGGAGUCAGUGACUAGUUCCUAUGAGGACCAAGUGGGAGCCUUCUGCUGUUUGAAGUCACUGACAGAGCAUCCUUUGAGCGCAUCUCUGGAGGCAGCAGGCUCUGGAGAAAGGUGAAACCCGCCAAGAUCCUCCUCCUGGUGCUCGGCCACAGGCUGAUCUCAGUGUCAGGUGUGACCAGUGAAGAAGCUGGCUGUCCUCUUGCAGACUUUCCAGGCUGAAACCUCAGCUAAGACCAACAGCAACAGCAGCAUGGCCUUCAAGCUGCUCACCCAAGAGAUCUACAGACUCUGUCCCAUCUUGGACCAAGCCUCAGGAGGAAGAGGACCAAAGCAGGGACCAAAGGCAGAUGUGCCUGUGCCCUGGCCCCUGGGCAGAAGGGCAGCCAUCCUCCCCGGAGCCCAUGGACCCUUCACAAUCCACAAGGACUGUGCUGGGCAUGGGUCAGAAUGAUGCCCUGGAAGAACACUCUGUGGUCUAGACAGGGCCUGCUUUCCUCUGGUGACAGAAUCCCAGCAACAAGACUUGCCCCAAAGCUAUUCACAUCCUUCCUCAGUGCCAAGGAUGAAUAUGAUCUUUCAUAAAGUUCCAGAAAAGGUCCAAAAGGGCUCUAGAAAGCCAGGUAUGAUGAUGUACACCUGUAAUCUCAGCACACUGAGAGUUGGAGGCAGGAGGGCAAGUUCAAGGAUAGCCUCAGCAAUAUAUCAAGUUUGAAGCCAGCCUGGGCUACACAAGAGCCUGACUCAAAACACAAAAAAAAAAAAAAAAAAAAAAAAAAAAAAAAGAAGUCCCAGGGACACUGACAUUAUCAGAACUAGAAUGCUUGUUUAUUUGGGGGCUAGUUCACCCUGUCCUGUGGCAGAGAACCUGAACUCCAGCUCCGACUGCUGGUCGUUCCUCUGGAGUAAAACUGAAAACCCCGGUAACUGUAGGGAUGGGGCCUGUGCUGCCACCCGCUGACGGCAGCGCUCGCUCCGGCCUUGCUGGUCCUCCCUGGCAUUUCAAAGGCUCUCAGCUAGGCACCUGUGUCUCCAUUAAUAAGUUCUUUAUUCUGGAAAAGCAAAUCAAGUUCAUAUUCAUAGAAACACUGACAUUACAAAGUACGGAGACAGGGGCGGAGGCGACAGACCCUCUCCAAACCUGCUAACACUGUCUCCCCAACACGAGCACACACUCUGCCUACAGUCAGUCGUUUACAGAUAAACCACAGGGCAAGUCUCCUCCUUUGAGAUGGCAGGGAAAGGGACCAGAAGUUGGGGUAGGAGGCUUUAUUCUUUUGGCAGAUCUUCUCAGUCAUUAUAGAUAUUGCUGCACUGUUAAUAAAAAAUAUAUGCUUCUCUGUAAAGCAUUAAAAAAAAAAUCCAAGGAUGAGA